CCCUAUGCCUUCUGCUUUUAAUUUCCUCACAACUUCUCUGUUUCCCUUUCUCCCUUCUCUAUUAAGGUUGGAUGGAUGCUCGUGCUACCUUCUAUGGAGGGGAUGAUGCCUCUGGCACAAUAGUUAUGUGUGACAAUUUACUGUAAUGUUUCUGCCACACACGUUGUUAUGCAUGUUUAUGGUGGUGCUUGUGGAUAUGGAAACCUGUAUAGCCAGGGCUAUGGGACUAACACGGCUGCUUUGAGCACGGCCUUGUUCAACAAUGGUUCGAGCUGUGGAGCUUGCUUUGAGAUAAAGUGUGCCAGUGACCAAAGGUGGUGCCAUCCAGACACAGUUGUGGUCACUGCCACCAAUUUUUGCUCACCAAACAAUGCCCUCCCAAAUGAUGCAGGUGGCUGGUGCAACCCUCCCCUUCAACAUUUUGAUCUCUCUCAGCCUGUCUUCCAACAAAUAGCUUAAUACAGAGCUGGCAUAGUACCUGUAGCUUACAGAAGGUAGCUGAUUUUGUUUCAAUUUUUCAUAUUCUUUUCCUAAUCAUUUAAGGAUGUGUCAUGGUUCACUAGGAAUAGGAAUACUAGCUAUUAACACAUUUUCUAAGAGCAUUUCUAUUUUCUAGCACUAGUUCUUGCUAGGUUCUUAAGUACAAGAAAUGUUCUUAUUUAGUUUGUGGUUAGAGAAGGCUGAGUUGGAAGUCACGGAAUUAGAACAUUUCUUAUGUAAGAACCAAUUCUCAACAUGAAAGUAUAUUUUUUUAGCAGAAAGUAUAAAGAUAUGGAGUAA